UGUGUAAGGAAACAAUUCGCUUGGGCUUAAGUGUAUAAGCCCAACAUCGAAGGAUUAAGACGAAUCCUCUCUUCCUCUAUCAACUCGCAAAACAAGGAACAAAAAGAAAAGGGAACACGACGAUGAAAGACUCACUUGCGUCUCCGUUUUGUGAUGGCUUGCAACUUGAAGUGCCAAAGAUGCGUCAGCGUUGUCGCGAUUCCUAUUUGGUUUAUUUCGCCAGUGAAUUAUGUACUGGAAGACGGGAUUGAAGAACCAGGGAGGAUAUCGCCGGAAGCUUGCAAUCGACGGCGGCGAAAAGGUCGAGUGAUGGUUAUCCGAGUUUAUUGAAGGUGGAAUCGGAGGGAACGAAGAUGAUUGUGAAUGGUUGCGAAUUGUCGAAUUUCUUUAAAGGAGAUGGAUGAAGUCGAUUGAUGAGUGUGUUGUUGAAGGUGUUGUUGGUGACGAGUAGAAGAGAGAAAAGCAAUGGAUGAACGUCGUUGAAUCGUGAAAAGCUGAAGGCCACCGUUGUGAGAUUUCUGCUUGAAUGCUGGAAAUGUGAGUUGCAGGUUCUCUAAUUUUUUUGGAGUUGGGAAGAGCCGUGAAGGAAGGUUAUAGAGGUUAAAGGUUUUUGUAUGUGGAAGGAUUGAAGUAGGUGAAGGAAGUGUAUAUUGGAAAAGAAUGUGAAAUUCAGGAGAGAGGUUGAGAGUGAGGUUUGAAAUUUUGAGAGGGAAUCGAGAGCUUGGGAAAACCAAUUCCAGAAGAAGCGAAAUCAUUGUGAGCUUCUCAAUUUAUAGCUUGAAUUUUCAGCUGAUUGAGUUUGUGCGUUUUGCUUCCCCUUUUUCAAUUUCGGUGUUGUUGUUGUCGUUUCUAUUUGGCUAAUCACUUAGGCUGCAUUUCGUUUUGGCUUUGUAGCAGGCUUUUGAAGUGUUGGCCUCGUGUACAGCUUAUGCAACUGCGUUUGAAGUGUUGUUUACGAUGCGUUGUGGCUCGUGGUCGCAGCGGCUUUCCGUACCGCGUUUGGAAGAAGUUGUGCAACUGAUGUUGUUUGUGAAUCAUUUUGCAGCUUUUUCAUGUUGGAUUUGUAACUUUUCAAGUUGCAUUUUUUCCAUUCAAUAUUGCACUACUGUUGUAGCAGUUUUUUUCAUCGUUUUGUACUUGGUUGAAGGUGGCUUUGUAUGCAGUUGUCGUCGAUGGCUUAUGCAGCUUAUCUGCAUUUUGUUGGCUAGAGCACGUGUUUGGAAUCUUCAUGUUUUUGCAUAGCUUUAGCGGCUAUUUUACUUUUUACGACUUGGCUUGUUGCCAUUUUGAUGUGGUUCAGCUUGUAGUACUUGCUGCAGUAGCCUUGUUUAGAUUGCCCUUUGGAAACUUGUAUUGCUUUUUCCAAUUUGCACUUCUCGCUAUGCUGCUUACGUGUACCUGCAAGCCUCCCCAUUGCCUCAUCAUUUUUCUUUGUACUUGGACGUGGGUUGGGCCACAUUGGAUUAAAACUUGGUUAAUGCAUUUGUAAAGGGAUGUGGAUAUGUGAAUAAAAAUGGUUUUUCAAUUGGAUAA